UCAUACAGAUUGCCUUAUAUUUAAAUAAAUGCUGGUUUUAAUUUAAGGACGAUCGUAUAUCGCCAAAAAAGAAAAAAAAAUAGAAUCUCAACUAGCAUCUAAAAAUGAUUAAAAAGUAAUAUUUUAAAACACCAUAAUUAAGCUCCAUUCUAAUCUUAAAAAACUAUGUCAAAUUAUGCACGAAAAUCAUCAACUGUGACUCGAAAGUCUCACAGCUAACGUAAACCAUAAAUUCCGAGACUAAAAGUCUUGUUCGAUCGUUCGCGGAGAGACGCGUUCGCGAGGAAGCGCGUCAGCGGCAGUCGUAAAUUCCUGUUACGAUUAGAUAAUCGACGCCACAAAAUGAUCGAUACCCUAUUUCGUUUAGGAUAAUGGAGGUGGUUGAACUGAUUAUAACACUAAAGUAACAGGUUAUAAUAUACACUUUAUUCCAACAACUUUGUAGACAUAGACAGUUACGCUCGAGGAAAACUAUUGCUGGGUGUUGGUCCCCCCACCACCGGUCGCUUGUGGGUGGAAAUGAUCGUUGAACAUGGGAAAAAUCCGACCUUGCCAUAUUUUACCUGAUGGAACAAUAACCACAAGGAACGUCUCGACUUGAAUAUAUUUUAUAACAAUUAAGGGCCCUAAUGGUAAAAUACAAAUGCUUAGUUUUAUGACAGUUCCUUGGGGUUAUUGCGAUCCGACUAAUUAUAUUUCCACAGCUAGUGGCCGCCUCGACCGAGGAAUGGAUUCUGGGUUACGUAAAGAGUCACCGGACGUAACAUCACGAACUGUAUGAAAUGCAAAAAGACUAAAUCUUACGUGAAACUUAAACUUCCAGUGCAAUCACGUAAAUUCGUUUCAUAGAACCGUAAUAUCGUCGUGAGAUUGCGAAGAAGCUGUUUGUACUCGUCCGUGCGAUACGUCGGGUAGUUUUGUGGCGUAUCCGUUUCGAUGGAUACAUAGAAGAAAGGAAACCAGUCGGAAAAUCGCAUGCUCGCGUCAGCUAAUUUGCUUUUCAACGAUGACAGCGCAGAAAAUCGUUCGCACUGUAACGCAUGCACUGCCAUUUCCAGGUGAAAGUGUUUGUUUCCAUUGUCUUUUCUUUCGCAGACCAAAUCAUAUCAACUGAUAGAACAAUAUUUCCUAAGUGAUCGAAGCUCGUGUUCCUUCGCGUUGCUUAAAGGGAAACGCAAGAUCAAUCGCCUCGCGUGAUAUACAGGCGAACCUGAUGCAGCUAGCAUUCAUUAUCGAUUCAAACGCGUGGCUUGUAAUGAACAAAGAUUGCUGGAAUAAUCUAGUAGAAUAGCGUAACAACGUAAAUUUCAAAAGUGAAGAAAGAAAAAAAGUUAUUUACAUUUCCAAAAAUUACUGGAAAUCUAUACAAUUUCUAUGCAAAAAUUACCAACUAUUAAUUAUCAAAAUUUCUAUUCAAAAAAUAUUAUCUUGGCUCCUCUUGUAUUGAUAUAUAUUCGUCCAUGUAAUAUCAGAUUCAUAACACCUUCAACAAUCAAUCUCUUCCUCUUCAA